GUUAAUAUUUAGUUGUAGGGUCUUCCACCAUGGUAGAGUGUGGUGCCCUCUCCGAUAUUGAUUGUUGUUGGCUGAUCAUAGUGAUUCAGUUGCAUUAGGAGAGAAGCAACUACUCUAUUAGCAUGAGAUGCUGUAGGGUAGAGAUGAGGUUGGAUCUAAGAUCUGUCAAAUGAGGGUCCAAUGACAGCUUCACUCAUGUCCAAUGGUGGAUCUGACUUAACUAAAAAAUGAGGUC
rnacentral:lncRNA from 1 species